rnacentral:misc_RNA from 1 species
GUGAAUCAUCAAAUUUUUGAACGCAAAUUGCACUCACUGGUAUUCCGGGGAGUAUGCCUGUUUGAGGAUCGUUAGAAACAACAUCGAAGCGUCGCUCUUUUUUGUAAUGGUGAUCGCGUCGCAAUUGAUCCGUCUUUCAACUGUUAAUUUAUUUGAAAUGAGCUUAUAAUUCAUCCAUCCGGUACGAUUAAAGCGU